GUAAAUUAUCAUUUUCCAGUAUGAGAACUGAGUGGAAAGUUAUGACAGAAAGACCUCAGAAGCAUAUGUAAGACCACUAAGAAUAACAUUAUCUUCAUUUUAGAGAAGAUGGUUAAGUCAGUCUAAAUAUUAAUAUAAGCCUAUAUAGUUUAUUUGAUGUGGUACUUGGUGGUGAUGUUUUUACAUCUUCUUUUGAUGUGAUGAAGUUCACAGUUCAUUACAGUAUGAACUGGAAGAGGCUCAGAUUCAGACUGAAACAUCAGAAAGCUCUUUUGUCUAUCUGGAAUAAGGAAGAUGUAACAUCCUGGCCUGUCAUGUCAUUCAGAAAAAUGCUCUUUUGGCAGACAUUCAGCAAACCUCCUUGUGUUACUGGAUCCAGCCUCCCCAUACCCUGGACAGAAAGGCUUCCAGAGGCUUUCAUUUCCCCUCAGCUGGUGACAAAUGGGGACCUGGAGAUAGGAUGCUGAACCCUUUCACUCAAAAGAGAGAUGCACUGGGCAGCAGGCUGCAAAGCCCUGUUAAAGUUCUGAAACCCAAAAGAAGAAAUAUCUUGAAUAUUCUUGAAUAUUGCCAUAAGUAACUAUGUACAAUAUAGAUGUUUACUGUAUGUCUAAUAAAUGUUUAAUAUAGACCUAGUAUAGCCA
rnacentral:lncRNA from 1 species